UUUAAAUGGUAAAUAAACUGUUACCGAUGCAUGUUCGUUCUGAUCAGUGAGACGGUACUGGUGCUAUGCAACUUAGCUGCAUGUAAAUUAUCUGAAACUCCUUCCCUCAAUAUAUAAAUCACACACCGUCGCUGUCAGAUGUCAUAGUGUUACGAACUUUGACUUGUUAACGAGUUAGAUAAUCCUAAAAUGCACAAAGGGAACAUGAGGACUCUGUUGAUAAUUGGUCUAACUUUGAUAGUAAUGGCGAACAAAGCAAGCAGAAGCUAGCAAAACGGAGCCACCAGCCGGAUCUAAUUCGUCUGUUUCAUCCCAAGAAAACUCUUGUGUGACCUACACUAGUGGACCGCUGCUAGUGACAGUUCUUGGCCUCGUGCCUUACAUGUUGGUGUUCGGAGAACGCCUUUUGUAACCUGGCUGUGACCACAUCUGGCAUUCUGAAAGCAGUCCCACAAUUAUAUCAAUUCUGCGUUACAUCAACAAAUAUCAGUGAUGAAUUGGUUCAGGGUUCGACCCCUAACAUUUUCAUACUUAGCUGAUUAUCAUUUUUAAGGGUUUAAAUUUCGAAGGAUUAUUAUGAAGGUAUGUUGUAUAUGAACAAAUAUGCCGAAUAUUCCAUGAAUAGUUCAAAGCAAUGACAAGAGAUAUGUUUUUAACUUGACUAUGUACUUCAUGGAUAUACGAAUUCGGAAGAUGUUUUCAAUUAACGCAAUGAUCAUAUCAAAUAUUUAAUAAACACCAGCACUUAUUUCAAUAUGAGUUGUAUUCCUACUUUUAAUUUUUGUUUUCUCUAUACAAUUUACAUUGUACGAAGUUUUCCAUUGGAUAAUUAGAUGUAAAUACAAGCAGUAAAUUUAGUUCAACAAUAUGAUGAAUGCUAAAGUCAUUGCAACGGAACUUUGAUGUGACUGCACAAUUAAAUGAAUUCAUGUGUUUAACACGGGGCAAUAAAACGUUGAACUUAA